AUAAAAAUAUCUUCAAAAUGUAAACAUUUGGUCUAAAUUAUACAGGUCAAAUAUUAGGUUUUCUGAAUGUUUUAGGUCAUAAACUGCUUCUUUUGACUUAAAAACUGUGCAAUUUAUUUUGGAGUGUUAAAUUCCAGAUAAGGCUUCAGGACAUGUGAAAUUAGCCUGCCCCUACCUAUGCAAAAAGGCAUUAAAGAAAGAGAUUUUAUAUAAGAAAGAAUCUUCUGUUUUAAAAUAUUGUCCUAAAGUAAAGUAACUGGUUGCUUAAAAAGAGGGAUGUUUAUGAAAAAUCAGAAAGUCAAGGCAUGUCAUACCUUGUCUGUGUAAGUUGUGAAAGAAUUUAGGAAGGAGAAUUUGUGCAAGAAAUGUUAUACAAGUUAAAGGUGAUUAGGCCUCCUAAAUGCUUUAUAAAAUGCCACUGUGACUCUUAGCUAUACAACUUGCCUGCUUUACAGCUAGAUUAAGGCCAGGGAAACCUGGAGUUAGAUGCUGGAAUAAGUCAGACCUUAUCUGCACUUCUGUCUAAGUCCUACUCCAUGCCCUGUACAUAAUUAAAAUCCCAAACUUACCAAGGUUUUCACCAAAAUUAAAGGUUGCUAACGGUUAAAAGUGUAACAUGUAUUUAAAACUAUUGAAGAAACAGUCUACUUGCGAGGUGUGUAAGGAAAGUAAAAUGUACUUUUGGUAAAAAGAUUAUAAAAAGACAUGAGAAUGUGGAUUUUUGCCUAGAUUAAAAGGUUAAAUGAUUGUUUUAAGUUGAAUAAAACAAAGAUGAAGGUUUAAGCAAGGUGUGGAAGGUUAAUUGUAAAGGAAAUUCUGUGUGUAAACAUACCAGCUUAAGUUAAAGGAGUAUCAUCCAAUUUUUCUGUAAAUUGAGCAUUAAAAUAAAAGCACAAUAGGUUUCUCUUAGGGCACUAACCUGCUCUUUAAUAAAAAUUGUAAAAGAUUAUAAAAGGUCUAUAAAAAUCUUACCCUGUGGUCAAACAUUAAAACUGAGUAAAUAUGUCUAGAUCGUUUUGUUAAGAAUUGGGUUUAACAUUAAUAUUACAUAAUGUGAAGGGGAAAUGUGGCUUAUUUUGUACCAAAAAUCAUACUGGAAGCAUUGCCACAUAUAAAAUGGGUUUGGCUUUCUUUGGGCUAUAUUUUAAGUAUGUUAUUCAUAUGUGUUCCAAAAUCAUGUGAAGUUCCCAUAAUUCUGAUAUAUCUUAGUGUAUGUUAUCAUUAAUAAUUAUAAUUGUUAUGUUCAAUUAUUGUCUGCCACAGAGAUAACAGAUUUCCUUGUCAAUUGUGUCUUUUAAAGCUUUUUGUCAUCCAUAAAUGAUUGUUGUCUUAUUUUGGUCCUCUUUAGAAGGUGGUUUAUAAUCAGCUAAAAAGAUCUAACAGGUGCUCUUGAAUGCAGAUUUCUGAUAACGUUGGAGAUUGUGACAUAAUAGAGGAAAAACCUUCAAGACUCUUCAAGGGCUAAAAUUUUCAUUAAUAUCAAGCAGGACAGGAAUUAACUGCAUGAAGUGAACUAAUAGGAGACUGACAUUAUCUUGUUGACUUUUGACUUCAAAUGUUGCUAAUAUUUUAUUUUGCUUUUCAGAGUCAAGGAAACUUUUCUAUUAAGCUCCUAACCAUUUUUAGCAAUUAACUAAAGUAUACUCCUAUGAAAAAAAUUUGGAGCAUAUUUGUUUCUUUCUACCUGCUUUCUCCAGAAUUUGGAACCUACUUAACCAAAGGACUUACGGAACCAAUAAAGUCUUUGAAAAAACUGGCCUCAUAUUUUGGGUACACAGUUCCUGUACAUGGUUUCUGAUCUGUGGUUGACACCUUUGAUGAUGGAGGAAGGAGCCACCAGGCAAAGAAUACAGGUUCAAGCAUGAGAACACUAGCAACGUCCAGUUCCCUCCAUCCUGCUGAAACUGUUACCCAAUAAAAGGAUUUGAAGAUCUGACGUCACCUAAAUGGUCUCUUAGCUUCCUUCUCAGAGGAUGCCAUGACAAGGCACCGUCUUGAAAGGACAGAGUAUCCAUCAUCAGACAACUGAAUCUAUUGGUGCCUUUAUCUUGGACUGACCAGCCUCCAGAACUUAAGUUACUCCAUGCUACAUCUCCUUUACUGAGUAGUCCUUGUUUAAAUUAUUUUAAACUAAGAAGACAAGAACUGAGAUGUCAACAUUUCUGGUGCUGUUACUUGGAUAGAUGUUUGUCCACUUCCUUGACUUCAAUUUUCCUUACCUGUGGAAGCUGAAGGGAUGUCAAAAUAGGCAAACAUAACUCCUUGCCAACAGGUGUGCUCUACCCUCUUUGGAACCAGGAACUCUUACUAGCAUUGCAUACAAGACAAUCACAAAACUGGAAAGAGAAAUGAGGAAAAGCUAAGUUAAAAUAUCACAUAGUCUUCUGCUGUCUUGUGUUGUCAUGAUAAAAUACCAUUUAUGGUGGCUUAAACAGGAAAUGGUGAAAAUUUGUGUCUCAGUUUUGGAGAAAAUAUUAAAUAAAGGUCAAACAAGAUCUGUUUCUAGUGAGGCCUUUCUUCCUGACUUGCAGAUGGACUGCCUCCUCACUAUGUUUCACAUGUUUUUUCAUCAUGAAACAAAAUGACAUGGAAACACAAAUAAAAGUUAAAAAUACAUGUUAAUGUAAUAUCUCUGUUUUCUUCCCGGUCUUAUUUCAUUGUCAUAUAACAAGUAAGAUGUAUUAACUUUAUAUCAUAGUAUGUACAUAUUAUUAAUUUUAUGUUGUUGUAUUUACAUUACAAGAUAUCAAGAAGAGUGAACAUCACUAAUAUACUUAACCUCCUCUUCUGUAUAAGAAGUUAGUGCGUUCUUAUUGUAGGCAGGAUAGCUUUGUUAUAUUAGGUAGAAUUAAGACCUUAUUAAAAAGAAAUUUAUAUUUUAUUGUCUAUCUUUAGAUACAUGUAAAUGUGUAUGCAUUUCCAUAUUUAUAUACUAUAUAUAUAGAAACAAACGUAAAAUUCAUAUAUACCAUAUACACAUGAAGCUAUUUUAGCAUUUUCUGACUUUGGUGAAAAUGCUACAUUAAAUCACAUCCUGGGUGAGUGGUUGAAUCACACACUUGCACAUAUGUUUAUGUUGUUAAAGGAAACACUCCUCAGUUCCUGUUUUAUUAAGUGUCUAUAUCAGGAAUGAAUCUUUUUUCAAAUUUUUUCUUCAGUUUUUGGGAUAAUCAUAUUUUUCUCGUUAUUUCUAAAAUAUGAUUAUAGUGGUGGAUUUCCUAAUAGAAAACCACCUUUCCUUGACUGAAAAAAAAGAGAGGAUUACAAGUGUAGUUUGUUACAUAGAUAUAUUGCAUAUGAAGUCUGGGCUCUUAGCGUAACCAUCACCCAAACAUACAUUGUACCCAUUAAAUAAUUUAUCAUUUCUCAACACCUCCUAGUCCUUCACCUUUGGAAGUCUCUGGUGUCUGUUAUUCCACACUUUAUUCCACAUAAGUGAGAGUGCCUUUUUUUUUUUUUUUUUUUUUUUUACAAUUUCUGAGUUGUUUUACUUAAGAUAGUGGUCACCAGUUUCAUCCAUGGUGUUAAAAAAGAUAUGCUUUCAUUCUUUGGUAUUGCUAAAUAGUAUUCCAAUAAUAUAUAUACUAUAUAAAACAUAAUUUGGUUCUCAGCUUGGUCAUAAUUAGUGUCUGGAAAUGUUUUAAUUUUUUAUAUUGAUUGUGUAUCUAAAACUUUUACUGAAUUUUAAAAUCAAAUAUAAAUUUUUUGGUGUUGUAUUUGAGACUUUCUAGCUGUAAGGUUUUAUCAUCAGUAAACAGAAAUAAUUUGACUUUUGCUUUCAAAUUUGAAUGCCUUUUAUUUCUUUCUCUUACCUGAUUGCUCUAGCUAGGACUUUAGGUACUGUGUUGAAUACAAGUGGUGAGAAUCAGCAUUCUUGUCUUGUUUCACUUCUUGGGAAAUGUGCUUUCAACUCUUCCCCGUUGAGUAUAAUGUUGGCUUUGAGUUUGUCAUACAUGUCCUUUACUAUUCUGAGGUAUGUUCUUUCUAUGUCCAGUUUGUUGAGAGUUGUUAUAAAGGGAAGAUGAAUAUUAUCAAAUGCUUUCAUGCCUCUACUGAGAUGAUCAUAGGCUUUUUGUCCUUUAUUCUGUUUAUAUAAUGAAUCACUUUUAUUAAUUUUUGUGUGUUGAACCAUGGUUACAUCUCUGGAAUAAAAUUCACUUGGUUGUGAUUUAUUAUACUAUGGCUGUGCUGUUGGAUUUGGUUUGCCAAUAUUUUGUUGAUGAUUUUUAUAUAUUUGUUUAUCAGGGAUAUUAGUCUGCAGUUUUCUUUUGUCUUUCUUUCUUUCUUUUUGGUAUCCUUAUCUGGCUUUGGCAUCACAGUGAUAUUGACUUUCAUUGAAUGAAUUAAGGAGAAUUUUCUCCCUGUCAAUUUUUAGAACAGUUUCACAAAGAUUCGUUCCUGUUCUUCUUUGCAUGUUUUGUAGAAUUCAGCUCUGAAUCCAUCUGUUCUGGGUUUUUAUUGGUUGGAAACACUUUUAUUAGUCAAACAAUCUAACUUUUCAUUAUUGCCCUUUUCGGGAUUUAUAUUUCUUCCUGGUUCAAUCUUGGGAGUUUGUAUGUUUCCAGAAAUUUGUUCAUUUUCUCUAGGUUUUCUAGUUUGUGAAUAUAUAGUUGCUCAUAGUUGUCUCUAAUGAUCUUUUUAAAAAAAUUUUUGUAGUGUCAGUUGUAAUGUUUCCUUUUUCAUUUAUGAUUAUGUUUAUUUGGAUCUUCUCUCGUUUUGUUAGUCUAGGUAGCAGCUUACAAAUUUUGUCUUUUCAAAGAAAUGAUAUUUAAUUUUAUUGAUUAUUUGUAAAUUUCUUGCUGUUUAUUUUAUUUAGUUAUCCUCUGAUCUUUGUUAUUUCUUUUCAUUUGCUAGCAUUGGGUUUGGUUUGUUGUUUUUCUAGCUCCCUGAACUGUGAUAGUAAGUUGUUAAUUUGUUGGGGUUUUUUGUUGUUUGUUUUUUGUUUUUGAGACAUGGUCUCAUUCUGUCAUCCUGCUCAGUGGAGUGGAGUGGUUAUAGCUCACUGCAUCCUCAACUUCCUAGGUUCUAGAAGUCCUUAGUUUCCUUAGUAGCUGAGACUACAACCAUGUGACACUAUGCCUGGCUAAUUUUUAAAAUUUUUGUAAAGAUAGGCUGUCACUAUGUUAUCCAGGUUCCUCUGAAACAUCUAAGCUCAAGCGGUCCCCCUGUUUUGGCCUACCAAAGUGUUGGGAUUACAGGUGUAAGCCACCAUGCAUGACAUGUGAUCUUUCUCAUUUUUUUGAUUUAGGCAUUUAACUGUACAAAUGUUCUCUCAGCACAGAUUUUGUUUUAUCCCAGAGGUUUUGUAUGUUAUGUUUCCAUUUUCUUUUGUUUGAAAAAAAUGUUUAAUUUCUACCUUUCUAUCAUCAUUGACCUAGUGGUUGUUCAGGAGUAAGUUGCUUAAUUUCCAUAUACUUUUUCAUAGUUUUGAGAGUUCCUCUUGGUAUUGAUUUCUAGUUUUAGUUUUCUGUGGUCUGAGAAAACACUUGAUCUGAUUUCAAUUAUUAAAAAUAUAUUGAGACUUGUAUUGUAGCCUAAUAUAUUGUUUGUCUUGUAGAAUGUUUCAUGUACUGAUGAGAAACAUUUACAUUAUGCACUUGGUUAGAAUGAUCUGUAAAUGUCUGUUAGGUCUAUGUGGUCCAAAGUCAAAAUCCAGUCUUCCAUUACUCAUUUUCUUUCUGUCUUAAUGAUCUGACUAGUUGUAAGUGGGAUGUUGAAGCCCUCCACUGUUGUAUGGUUUUCUCUUCCCUGAGUCUAGUAAUAUUUGCUCUAUGAAUCUCAGUACUUUGAUGCUAGGUUCAUAUGUAUUUAGAACUGUUGUAUCAUCUUGUUAAAUUGAUUCCUUCAUCGUUAUAUAUAGUGACAUUCUUUGUUUUCUAAUUUUCUUCAUACAAGUUUUGACUUAAAAUCUAUUUUAUCUGAAUAGCUAUAAUUACCUCUGCUUGCUUUUGGUUUCUAUGUGCAUGAAAUACAUUUUGCUGACCCUUGAUUUUCAAUCUAUAAUCUAUACGUGUCUUUAAGAGCAAAGUAAAUUUCUUUUAAGCAAUAUAUAGUUGUAUUAGUGUUUUAUUAAAAAAUUUAUUUCUCCAAA